GAAUUUGUUAUAGCAAUACACGUGCUAAAAUUGGAAUGAUACAGAAAAGAUUAGAAUGGCCCCAGAGUAAGGAUGACACACAAAUGUGGGAAGCGUACUCUCUCUAG